AAGCCCCGGCAGGUAUUAUACUGCUUCUUGGGGUUUGCAACCCCACGUGUUAACACCCCAAGGCC
rnacentral:tRNA from 1 species